rnacentral:rRNA from 1 species
UACGUAGGGGGCGAGCGUUGUCCGGAUUUAUUGGGCGUAAAGAGCGUGUAGGCGGCCAGGUAGGUCUGCUGUGAAAACUCGAGGCUCAACCUCGAGACGUCGGCGGAAACCAUCUGGCUAGAGUCCGGAAGAGGAGAGUGGAAUUCCUGGUGUAGCGGUGAAAUGCGUAGAUAUCCGGAGGAACACCGGUGGCGAAGGCGGCUUCCUGGACCGACACUGACGCUGAGGCGCGAAAGCCAGGGGAGCAAACGGG